rnacentral:rRNA from 1 species
UACGAGGGGGGCGAGCGUUGUUCGGAAUUAUUGGGCGUAAAGGGCGCGUAGGCGGUGUGUCAAGUCAGGCGUGAAAGCCCCGGGCUCAACCUGGGAACCGCGCUUGAGACUGGCACGCUCGAGUUCGGGAGAGGAUGGUGGAAUUCCCAGUGUAGAGGUGAAAUUCGUAGAUAUUGGGAAGAACACCGAUGGCGAAGGCAGCCAUCUGGACCGACACUGACGCUGAGGCGCGAAGGCGCGGGGAGCGAACGGG